GGGAGACAUCCAAGCACCCUAGGAAUUCCCAGACUGGACCAGCAUCGCCCACUGCUUCAGAGGCAGGUGCAAGAAAUGCCCCCGGUGGAUAGUUAUGGGGCAACAGCCCCUCAGUUAGUGAAUUAUAAAUGAGAGGGAGUUUAGCAGGACUCUAAAUCCAUCUACUCCAAUGUAUAAACUAACCUCUAGUAUAAAGCACACUGGGUUAUGAUUCGAGAGAGAUGAGUUCUAUUCCUGGCUCUGCUGCUGGGGGGUCCUGAAUCAUGACAUUGGAAUGUCUGAAGCUGGUGAUGCGACUGCAGCAUUCUCUUCACCUGUCUCUGCUGGUCGAAAAAUAGGUGCUUUGCGGCAGGGACUGUCUCUCGCCAGGUGGAUGUCGUUUGAGGCAGGGUUGUAAUAAUGUCUGGCGUGUGCCCCCUGCUACCGCACGCCGCUUGUUCAGAACGUCUAAGGCCAGAUGGGACCCUCCUGAUCAUCACGUCUGACCUGCUUAACCCAGGCCAGAGAACCUCCCCUGUUGAUUCCCGCACCAAGCCCAUGGCGUCGGCUUGAGUCAGAGCAUCUCUUCGAACGAGACGUCCAGUCAUGAUUUAAAGACGUGCCAGGACGGGGAAUCCACCACGUCCCUUGCCGAGUCGUCCGAUGGUUAGAUGUUAAACAUUUCAUACCCCUCAGAGGAGGUGCAGUGACGGGGGGUUGCAGACGGGCGGCACUGGACCGUAAGCGCUGGAGUCUGGAUUCAGCCGUGAUGGUAGCCAAGGGGCCGUCUGAUCAGCACGCCAGCGGAGGGUGUUUUAGCUGCAAAGAGCGAAGCUGAAUGCAGGUUCAUCAGGGCAAGUGAAACUGCAUUAAACCCCGUGUGCUGCUCUGUUCAUUGGGGUCAGUAUCAGUUUUGUUGCUCUGCUUUGAACUCUCUCCAAUUUGUCCGCAUCUUUCCUAAAGUGUGGUGCCCAAAGCUGGACGCAGGACGUCAGUUGACACCUUGCCAGUGCCAAGCAGAGUGGCAAAAUUCCUGCCCAUGUCUUACCCACGACACUCCUGUUCAUAGAGUGAGAGCCCAGCGUGUCUCUCUCACCUGUACUCAGCACCAUCUGCACUGAACUCAGCACCGCAUGGCUUCUUAAAGGCACCCAGACCCCGGGAGAGAGCCCCAACGGUGAGCUAAAGACACAACUGUAUUAGGGCCGGUGGAAAUGUCUCCAUCAAACCUCGCGGGCCCCUUGACCGGCUUGUGCGGGGUGAGGACCUAUGGGAGCAGGUGCCGAGUCAGCGUCAGGAGUUUUUGCCUGGAUGAUUCGAUCAGCAGGACGGUAAAUAAUUCAUUGGCAUUUUGCAGCCACCCAGUU